UUUACCGCGACACCUGUGAAAGGGGGCGGGGCAGGCUUGUGGUCUCCUUUGCUGAGCGACGUCUGUGGGGAAAGUGUUGGCUGCAGGUUUCUGAUUUUGUGCAAUAUCAACCCUAGGACAAUUAUGCUUCCUAAGAGAGAAAUAAUUAAAUACCAAGGCCUACAUUCUGCAUGACUAUGAGAACUAAGUUUCAGAGCCCAUAGACCCUUGUUGCUGCAUCACAAAUGUAAGAAAACUGAGGUCAGAAAACUGAGUGAUUGGCUUAACAUCACACCAGCUAGUAAGCUGUAUCUCUAUCCUCUUUUGCUGCUGUGGAAUGAAGAAUUGGUGUCUUAGACUUGCAACAUUUUUCAAGAGAUCACCUGAUCUAGUUCUUGGAGUCCAGAGAAAUGAACUUCUUGGUCAACCAAUCAGAAAAUGAUCGAGCUUAUUCUUUACCAACUCAAUAGAUGCAGAGGAGACCAGAAUUUUAUAUCCUUCUCUGAUACAGAAAUUUUAGUUUAUAAACCUAUUUUAGAUAUUACUCUUUGCAUUGCAUUGCAAUAAUUUGUUUACCAGUAUAUCUUCCCUUGAGGACAGAAAUGUAUAUUUAUUAUCUCUCAAUACACAGGCAGUUGAUAAAUGCCCAUUGUUAAGUGCAUGAUACGAGUAUUCAAUUGAAUUCUAGUUCCUUAUAAAGCAUAGUAGAAGCCCUGUUUCCUUUCGUUUUGGCCCCUUCAGACGGGGAAGUGUCCCAGCACGGGGAUUAAUACAAAGGAACCAAAUGGGAAAUGCUUGUUGAACAAAUGGAUGAACAAAAGAUGACUUCACAAGUCUUGAAAGUCUGCUCACACAUGUAUUUUUGGGUCACGCCUUAUUUU